GAUGAACGCUGGCGGCGUGCCUAAUACAUGCAAGUCGAGCGAACAGACGAGGAUCUUGCUCCUCUGACGUUAGCGGCGGACGGGUGAGUAACACGUGGAUAACCUACCUAUAAGACUGAGAUAACUUCGGGAAACCGGAGCUAAUACCGGAUAAUAUAUUGAACCGCAUGGUUCAAUAGUGAAAGACGGUUUUGCUGUCAGUUGUGGAUGGAUCCGCGCCGCAUUAGCUAGUUGGUAAGGUAACGGCUUACCAAGGCAACGAUGCGUAGCCGGCCUGAGAGGGUGAACGGGCACAUUGGGACUGGGAUACGGCCCAGAGUCCUACGGGAGGCAAGAGUGGGGAAUAUUGCACAAUGGGUGGAAGCCUGAUGCAGCAACGCCGUGGGCGGGAUGACGGCCUUCGGGUUGUAAACCGCUUUCGCUCAUGACGAAGCUUUGUGUGACGGUAGUGGGUAAAGAAGCACCGGCUAGCUACGUG
rnacentral:rRNA from 1 species